CCCCUCUUGGGGUUGCACCUGAAGAGUUUCCAGUACUCUACCAGUCUUGGCUAUGGGAGGGAGAAUCAAGCAGAGGCCUACCCAUUCCAUUCCUAGCUUGGCCAGUAGCUAGCUAGUGGAAGGAGAUCUGCUACAAGU